UACAGAGGGUGCAAGCGUUAAUCGGAAUUACUGGGCGUAAAGCGCGCGUAGGCGGAUAGUUUAGUCAGAGGUGAAAGCCCAGGGCUCAACCUUGGAAUUGCCUUUGAUACUGGCUAUCUUGAGUAUGGAAGAGGUAUGUGGAACUCCGAGUGUAGAGGUGAAAUUCGUAGAUAUUCGGAAGAACACCAGUGGCGAAGGCGGCUCACUGGUCCGGUACUGACGCUGAGGUGCGAAAGCGUGGGGAGCAAACAGGAUUAGAAACCCUGGUAGU
rnacentral:rRNA from 1 species